GACGAACCACACAAACGUUAUUCGGAAUUACUGGGCUUAAAGGGUGCGUAGGCGGCGCGGAAAGUUGGGUGUGAAAUCCCUCGGCUCAACCGAGGAACUGCGCUCAAUACUACCGUGCUCGAGGGAGACAGAGGUGAGCGGAACUUAGGGUGGAGCGGUGAAAUGCGUUGAUAUCCUAAGGAACACCCGUGGCGAAGGCGGCUCACUGGACCGGAACUGACGCUGAGGCGCGAAAGCGUGGGGAGCAAACGGG
rnacentral:rRNA from 1 species